UGUGAGUGGACUGGAGGCAUGCUGCCCAAGAUGGCUGACUUUGAAGACUAUUUUCUGUUCAUAUUGGAUAACUACUUCAGGAUUUAUGUUUGGCCCUGUAGCAUAACGGAGAAAUUGGAGUUACACCAGCUGUGGAUAAAUGGACUUCUAUGCUUCCUGUUGGACGUUGGUCGAGCAGGAGCGAGGCUGUCAACUACCCUUGGAUAUCAAAGACGGAAGGACAAACCAGGCUGGAAUUUUAACAGGAUGUAUGCCCAGCGCUGACGUUAGCAUGCUAGCAGCACUCGGCGUGCUAAUGGCUCGCUAAGCACUCGGAGG
ensembl:lncRNA